rnacentral:rRNA from 1 species
ACGCUGGCGGCGCGCCUAACACAUGCAAGUCGAACGAGCGAGAGAGAGCUUGCUUUCUCGAGCGAGUGGCGAACGGGUGAGUAACGCGUGAGGAACCUGCCUCAAAGAGGGGGACAACAGUUGGAAACGACUGCUAAUACCGCAUAAGCCCACGGCUCGGCAUCGAGCAGAGGGAAAAGGAGCAAUCCGCUUUGAGAUGGCCUCGCGUCCGAUUAGCUAGUUGGUGAGGUAACGGCCCACCAAGGCGACGAUCGGUAGCCGGACUGAGAGGUUGAACGGCCACAUUGGGACUGAGACACGGCCCAGACUCCUACGGGAGGCAGCAGUGGGGAAUAUUGCACAAUGGGGGAAACCCUGAUGCAGCGACGCCGCGUGGAGGAAGAAGGUCUUCGGAUUGUAAACUCCUGUUGUUGAGGAAGAUAAUGACGGUACUCAACAAGGAAGUGACGGCUAACUACGUG